rnacentral:rRNA from 1 species
AUUGAACGCUGGCGGCAGGCCUAACACAUGCAAGUCGAACGAGUCGCGGAAGGGUGAGCAAUGUCUGGGAAACUGCCUGAUGGAGGGGGAUAACCAAUGGAAACGGUAGCUAAUACCGCAUACCAUCGGAUGUGCUUAGCUGGGAUUCGAUAGUAGGUGGGGUAAAGGCUCAACCAGGCGACGAUCCCUAGCUGGACUGAGAGGAUGACCAGCUGGAUGGAAACUGAGGCACGGUGCAGACUACUACGGUAGGAGUCGGUGGGGAAUAUUGCACAAUGGGCGCAAGGCUGAUACAACCAUGCCGAGUGUAUGAAGAAGGCCGUCUGGUUGUAAAGUGCUUACAGCGGGUAGGCGUUACCCGGAGAAGAAGCACCGGCUAACUCCGUGCCAGCCGCCGCGGUAAUAC